rnacentral:rRNA from 1 species
AUUGAACGCUGGCGGCAGGCCUAACACAUGCAAGUCGAGCGGUAACACAGGGAGCUUGCUCCCGGGUGACGAGCGGCGGACGGGUGAGUAAUGUCUGGGAAACUGCCUGAUGGAGGGGGACAACUACUGGAGACGGUAGCUAAUACCGCAUAAUGUCGCAAGACCAAAGAGGGGGACCUUCGGGCCUCUUGCCAUCAGAUGUGCCCAGAUGGGAUUAGCCAGUAGGUGGGGUAACGGCUCACCUAGGCGACGAUCCCUAGCUGGUCUGAGAGGAUGACCAGCCACACUGGAACUGAGACACGGUCCAGACUCCUACGGGAGGCAGCAGUGGGGAAUAUUGCACAAUGGGCGCAAGCCUGAUGCAGCCAUGCCGCGUGUAUGAAGAAGGCCUUCGGGUUGUAAAGUACUUUCAGCGGGGAGGAAGGUGUUGAGGUUAAUAACCUCAGCAAUUGACGUUACCCGCAGAAGAAGCACCGGCUAACUCCGUGCCAGCAGCCGCGGUAA